rnacentral:rRNA from 1 species
UGGGGAAUAUUGCACAAUGGGGAAACCCUGAUGCAGCAACGCCGCGUGAAGGAAGACGGUUUUCGGAUUGUAAACUUCUGUUCUUAGUGAAGAAUAAUGACGGUAGCUAAGGAGCAAGCCACGGCUAACUACGUGCCAGCAGCCGCGGUAAUACGUAGGUGGCAAGCGUUGUCCGGAAUUACUGGGUGUAAAGGGAGCGCAGGCGGGAGACCAAGUCAGCUGUGAAAACUACGGGCUUAACCUGUAGACUGCGGUUGAAACUGGUUUUCUUGAGUGAAGUAGAGGUUGGCGGAAUUCCGAGUGUAGCGGUGAAAUGCGUAGAUAUUCGGAGGAACACCGGUGGCGAAGGCGGCCAACUGGGCUUUAACUGACGCUGAGGCUCGAAAGUGUGGGGAGCAAACAGGAUUAGAUACC